rnacentral:rRNA from 1 species
AUUCUUGGUCAUUUAGAGGAAGUAAAAGUCGUAACAAGGUUUCUGUAGGUGAACCUGCAGAAGGAUCAUUAGUGAAUUGCCUGGGGUUUGAGAUACGCACGCUAACACAACGUGCCUCUCCCCCAAUCCACUAUUUAUCCACAAACCCUGUGCACCGUGUGGAAGCGCGUUUGGAUUGCUAAUGGCGUCCGAGCGCCUUCCUUCUCUAAAAACACGCAUGUUUGUAUGAACGUGAUGGAUGUUGGUUCACAGCCAACGAACAAAACACAACUUUCGACAACGGAUCUCUUGGUUCUCCCAUCGAUGAAGAACGCAGCGAAACGCGAUAGGUAAUGUGAAUUGCAGAAUUCCGUGAAUCAUCGAAUCUUUGAACGCACCUUGCGCUCUGUGGUAUUCCGCAGAGCAUGCCUGUUUGAGUGCCGUGAAAUCUCUCCCCCCAAGUGGUGUUUGUAUAGGACGCUACGCGGCGGCGGAGGUUGGAUGAGCGUCGUGCCUACUACCGCGCUUGGUAGGCUCGCUCGAAAAGCAUGAGCGCUUGAGAACACUUGUCGCCUGUGAGAGGCAGGCGGGCAGAACAGGUGAGCGAAUGCUUCUCCUCCGGAGAAGCGCCCACCGGUCUGCGUGUGCGCAUGGCAUGAUACGUUCCUUGCUAUGUGUGGCGCGCAAACCCCAUCUGGGUUAGUAGCUUCUUGCUUCUGGCGUGAUCUCGUGUGCGCUUCGAAUCGCACAGCCCUCUCUUCACUUCUGGCCUCAAAUCAGUAGGAUCACCCGCUGAACUUAAGCAUAUCAAUAAGCGGAGGAA